AAAUCAAAUAUCUCUAUUUUGAUCGAAUGGAAAGUGAUACAAGAGAGAUUUUUGAAUGUCGAUAACAACAUGAAACUCCACAUUAAAGAACAAUUGAGGAAAAUUGUUUAUCUGAAAACCACCGACUUGAAACCACCCUCUCAACCGAUAAAAAUAAAAGGUGCUCCGAAGAAGCUCAAAUCUACACUGAGUGACAACUCAACGGUGCGGUCUCCUUCGUGUUUUGAUCAUGCUGACAGUUUUCC
rnacentral:lncRNA from 1 species